GAAGGCUGCUCACCACCAAUUUCAUCACUGUUGCUAACUCCAGCUCAUCUAAUCUCUGCAACAUCUGCUGCCAGCACCUUCUCUUGCCUCCUUUUGUGAACAUAGUUUUUUCUUCUGGUUAGAAAAUCAGUUCGAACUUCUUGAGUUUUGUGUUUUAAACUCUUCUCAACUGUUCCCAUGAUUGAUGGAUGCCCAGAGGCGACCUCUUUAUCUCCAGCAACAUAUUUGGCUGUUGGCCCGGUAGAGAGGUACUCCAGAAGCUUGCUGGUUCAUCAUGCUCUCACCUUUAACCACAACUAUUUAUCUGACUCCUUCCAUCUCCACAGCACUGUGUGAGGGAUCAGUGAUAAGAGACGGUGAAAGACAUGCGCAAAUGGAUAAAUAAUAAGCAGGAUAUGUAGAAUGACACAACUAUUGGUGGUCUAUCAUUUUGGAGUUUCUUUCCACCUCUGGAGAAUUGCUCAGGAAAUC
rnacentral:lncRNA from 1 species